AGAAUCAACGCUGGCGGCGUGCCUAACACAUGCAAGUCGAACGAGAAAGUGGAGCAAUCCAUGAGUAAAGUGGCGCACGGGUGAGUAACACGUGACUAACCUACCCUUGAGUGGGGGAUAACCUAGAGAAAUCUGAGCUAAUACCGCAUAAUACCUUCGGGUCAAAGGAGCAAUUCGCUUAAGGAGGGGUCGCGGCCGAUUAGUUAGUUGGCGGGGUAAUGGCCCACCAAGACUAUGAUCGGUA
rnacentral:rRNA from 1 species